rnacentral:tRNA from 1 species
GCCCGGGUGGCGGAACUGGUAGACGCAAGGGACUUAAAAUCCCUCGAAGUUCACUUCGUGCGAGUUCGAUUCUCGCCCCGGGCACCA